rnacentral:misc_RNA from 1 species
AACUCCGUGCAUCUGCACCUAAACACACACACACACACACCUACAUAUGCCCCCGUCCCCCUUGAUUAUCUGUUUCGCGUUCACCGCCACCGCAGAACGUAUGGAACCACACGCCACACUUUCACCUCCGUUGUGAUCCCAUCGGACAUGUUGAAUAUUGUUCUCGCCAAGCGUACCCCGGAACAGGUGGUUGUGGAGCACGCGGGCAGCACCCUGGAUGAGGGCGCCGAUACCCUUCCCCGCGGUUCAGCGCCGCGAUGUGUUUACAUUCAGCACAGAAGACACCACCCCAUGGAGCGGCUACGCGCAUGCACUGGUGGCGCGCCGCAAUAUGCAAGAGGCACUUGACGUGUAUGCCGAGCACUAACGUCAUGGUGCGUUGUAGGCACGUAUGGCCCCGCGUGCCGAAGCAGCGCCGCGGCGCAUCGACACUGCAGUUGCUGGUGGCCUGCAUCACAGGGUUUUUGUUACUGGGACGACGACGCCCAACAGACACUUAAGCGCAGGGUUGACGUCAGGCUUUCGAGGCGAUUGGGGGUGCGAGGGAUGUAAAGAGAGAGGGUGAGGAGGGGGCACGAAAUGCAUGCAUGCGUACCCCAGUGGUGCCGAUGUGACCGCAGUGCCCUUGCGUCGUCGUCUCUGGCUUGAUGUGGGCACUCCUACCGCGAUGGUGUACCCCUGAUGGCACAAGUCGAGCAGGCGCACACAACCACACUUAUUCUAUCCGUGGACUGUCCCGUUCUUGCAGUCUCCCUUCGGAGUCCUUCCGCUGUGUGUGUUUUGCGUUUUUGAUGAGCCCAUUGAAAUGUGUCGAGGGCUUGUGUGCGCAAAGCCGCGUCUGCUGCAUCUUCCUGCGGUAGUGGUGUGCACCGCAUGUGUGGCAAUGGUGUGUGCCCCUCCCCCCCUUUGCCGGUCAUCCAUCCGGCCCUCUUUUGCUUUUCUUCGUGUUUUUUCUUGAUGGCUUACUCGCCCUACCCCACCCCCUUCCUCUCGUUAUGGCCUCCCUUCUGCUAGUAUGGCAGCAUGCCAGCCUUCCCUUGUUUUGUCUCCCGCUGUGUCCCUCAUCCGAUACGGUGCCUCUCUCUCUGUGUCUUAUGAAGCCGCUCCUGCAGCGGGGCGCCUUUUGCCGACGAACGUUCAAAGGCGCACCUGCCCAGGCGAGCACACACACCCAGCCACACAUACACACACACGAAGGGCUGCAACGGCACGGGCGCACAUUCGCGCAUAUAAACUGUUUGCCCAGAGCGUGUAAGUUGGAAAAAAA